CUAAUUCAAUCUGAUGGUAUAGUGAAGUAGCAAAAAAAUAUCUCGAGUUGGAUGUUGUCCUAUAUUUAUUAUCGUAAUCACCUGUGAAGGAAAAAACGCGUGACAAUUUUCGACAAGAACGCUUUUCUCGUGCGAUGCAGUGGAACACCAUCAUAUUGAUAAUAUAGUUUUACCUAUAAAAAUUGUAAAAAAAUUUUCUAUGAAUAAAGAAGUUUGAUUUAAA